CGAGCGGACCGACGGGAGCUUGCUCCCUUAGGUCAGCGGCGGACGGGUGAGUAACACGUGGGUAACCUGCCUGUAAGACUGGGAUAACUCCGGGAAACCGGGGCUAAUACCGGAUGCUUGAUUGAACCGCAUGGUUCAAUCAUAAAAGGUGGCUUUUAGCUACCACUUACAGAUGGACCCGCGGCGCAUUAGCUAGUUGGUGAGGUAACGGCUCACCAAGGCGACGAUGCGUAGCCGACCUGAGAGGGUGAUCGGCCACACUGGGACUGAGACACGGCCCAGACUCCUACGGGAGGCAGCAGUAGGGAAUCUUCCGCAAUGGACGAAAGUCUGACGGAGCAACGCCGCGUGAGUGAUGAAGGUUUUCGGAUCGUAAAACUCUGUUGUUAGGGAAGAACAAGUACCGUUCGAAUAGGGCGGUACCUUGACGGUACCUAACCAGAAAGCCACGGCUAACUACGUGCCAGCAGCCGCGGUAAUACGUAGGUGGCAAGCGUUGUCCGGAAUUAUUGGGCGUAAAGCGCGCGCAGGCGGUUUCUUAAGUCUGAUGUGAAAGCCCCCGGCUCAACCGGGGAGGGUCAUUGGAAACUGGGGAACUUGAGUGCAGAAGAGGAGAGUGGAAUUCCACGUGUAGCGGUGAAAUGCGUAGAGAUGUGGAGGAACACCAGUGGCGAAGGCGACUCUCUGGUCUGUAACUGACGCUGAGGCGCGAAAGCGUGGGGAGCGAACAGGA
rnacentral:rRNA from 1 species